rnacentral:rRNA from 1 species
UGAAUACGAGAUGCUACGGUGUCGAAGCAGUGUAUGUCAGACUUCCAAGAAAAGCUCGCAAUGUCAUAAAUAAAGAAUGCCUGUACCAUAACCGACACAGGUGGGUAGGUAGAGUAUACUAAGGGGCGCGAGAUAACUCUCUCUAAGGAACUCGGCAAAAUAACUCCGUAACUUCGGGAGAAGGAGUGCCUUCUUUAAGAAGGUUGCAAUAACAAGAUCCAAGCAACUGUUUAUCAAAAACACAGGUCUCCGCUAAGUCGUAAGACGAUGUAUGGGGGCUGACGCCUGCCCAGUGCCAGAAGGUUAAAGAAGCUGGUUAGCAAUAGCGAAGCUGGUGACUGAAGCCCUGGUGAACGGCGGCCGUAACAAUAACGGUCCUAAGGUAGCGAAAUUCCUUGUCGGGUAAGUUCCGACCCGCACGAAAGGCGUAAUGAUUUGGAUACUGUCUCGGAGAGGGACUCGGUGAAAUAGACUUGUCUGUGAAGAUGCGGACUACCUGCACCAGGACAGAAAGACCCUAUGAAGCUUUACUGUAACCUGAAAUUGAAAUUGGACUUUAUUUGCGCAGUAUAGGUGGGAGGCGUUGAAAGUAAUCUUGCGGGAUUAGUGGAGCCAUCAGUGAGAUACCACUCCUAUAAUGUUAGAUUUCUAACUUUGGAUCAUGAUCUGGUCAAAGAACAGUUUCAGGCGGGCAGUUUGACUGGGGCGGUCGCCCCCCAAAUGGUAACGGAGGCGUACAAAGGUUUCCUCUGAACGGGUAGAAAUCGUAUCUAGAGUGUAAAGGCAUAAGGAAGCUUGACUGUGAGACCUACAAGUCGAGCAGGGACGAAAGUCGGUCUUAGUGAUCUGACGGUGCUGAGUGGAAAGGCCGUCACUCAACGGAUAAAAGUUACUCUAAGGAUAACAGGCUGAUCUCCCCCAAGAGUUCACAUCGACGGGGAGGUUUGGCACCUUGAUGUCGGCUCAUCGCAUCCUGGGGCGGUAGUACGUCCCAAGGGUUGGGCUGUUCGCCCAUGAAAGCGGUACGCGAGCUGGGUUCAGAACGUCGUGAGACAGUUCGGUCCAUAUCCGGUGUAGGCGUUAGAAUAUUGAGAGGAGCCUUCUCUAGUACGAGAGGACCGAGAAGGACAUACCUCUGGUGUACCAGUUAUCGUGCCAACGGUAAACGCUGGGUAGCUAUGUAUGGAGAGGAUAACCGCUGAAAGCAUCUAAGUGGGAAGCCCACCUCAAGAUGAGUAUUCACAUC